rnacentral:pre_miRNA from 13 species
CUACUAUCUCUCUCCAUGUGACCCGUGGGCUUCCCUUUGUCAUCCUAUGCCUGAGAAUAUAUGAAGGGGGCUGGGAAGGCAAAGGGACGUUCAACUGUCAUCACCAGCAUCUUCUUUGAU